UCAAAAUGUCAAAGUGAAAGGCAAUAAAUUGUUGCCAAGUCAAUAGGAGCCCCAAGUGCCCAGCUGGCAGAGCUGUAUGCUAGGAAAAGAGCGUUCGCUUUACAAGGCGCGCAUUUUCCAUUUCCGCGGCGGCAUUUUUCAAUACGAAUUCCUUGGAGAACGCUUGACGACAUGCGCACUUCGGGCUUGUCUCAAAAUCUAAUUAGUUGGAUACUUCAUUAACCACAGCCGACAAUCAACAAAUGAGUAAUUAACAUGCGCCUGGGAUCAAAGAUAAAGCCGACACUACAGCGAGGCCUAAGACACCGCGCCAUGCAAAUUUUAUGCUCACUUAGUUGGCGCACAGCGCCGUUAUAAUGCCCGGUAGGUCUCAUGUGUGGCGCUUGACUAAGUAUGUCCCGGAACUGCGUUUUUGCGAUUCGUUUAAGACAUGUUUAAUGUUCAUUUACAAUAUGGAGGAGUCUUCUUUCACCUUAACGAAGAUGUGCAAUUGUGUUUCAUUAAAGAACACAAUCUACAUCAAGUAAAAGUUAUUCAAUUUUA